CCUCUGGACCAUGGACCCCCGCAAAGUGAACCUGCUUCGGGCCUUCGUGAAAAUGUGUAAGCAGGAUCCGAGCGUUCUGCACACCAAGGAAAUGCGCUUCCUGUGGGAGUGGGUGGAGAGCAUGGAGGGUAAAAUACCACCUGCCACUCAUAAAACUAAACCAGAAGACAAUAUCAAGGAAGAAAAAACAGAUAGUAAGAAGGCGGAGGAAAACAUAAAGACAGACGAACCAUCAAGUGAGGAAAGUGAUCUAGAGAUUGACAGUGAAGGUGUGAUUAAACCAGAUACUGAUGCCCCCCAAGAAAUGGGAGAUGAAAAUGUAGAGAUAACCGAGGAAAUGAUGGAUCAGGCAAAUGAUGAAAAAAUGGCUGCCAUUGAUGCCCUAAAUGAUGGUGAACUAUAGAAAGCCAUUGACUUGUUCACAGAUGCCAUCAAAUUGAAUCCUUGCUUGGCCAUUCUGUAUGCCAAGAGAGUCAGUGUCUUCAUCAAAUUACAGAAGCCAAAUGCUGCCAUUUGAGACUGUGACAGAGCUAUUGAAAUAAAUCCUGAUGCAGCUCAGCCUUGUAAGUGGCGAGGGAAAGCACACAGACUUCUGGGCCAUUGGGAAGAAGCAGCACAUGAUCUUGCCCUUGCUUGUAAACUGGAUGACGAUGAAGAUGCUAGUGCAGUGCUGAAAGAAGUUCAACCGAGGGCCCAGAAAAUUGCUGAACAUCAGAGAAAGUAUGAGCAAAAACGUGAAGAGCGAGAGAUCAAAGAAAGAAUAGAAAGGUUAAGAAGGCUCGGGAAGAACAUGAGAGAGCCCAGAGGGAGGAAGAAGCCAGACGACAAUCAGGAGCUCAGUAUGGCUCUUUCCCCAGGUGGCUUUCUUGGGGGAAUGCCUGGUAAUUUUCCUGGAGGAAUGCCUGGAAUGGCAGGGGGCAUGCCUGGAAUGGCAGGAAUGCCUGGGCUCAAUGAAAUUCUUAGUGAUCCAGAGGUUCUCGCAGCCAUGCAGGAUCCAGAAGUUAUGGUGGCCUUCCAGGAUGUGGCCCAGAACCCAGCAAAUAUGUCAAAAUAUCAGAGCAAUCCAAAGGUUAUGAAUCUCAUCAGUAAAUUGUCAGCCAAAUUUGGAGGUCAAGCAUAAUGCCCUUCUGACAAAUAAAGCCCUUGCUGAAGGAAAAGCAACGAUCACCUAAUGGAUGUCACAAUAAUACAAACCAGUGUACCUCUGACCUCAUGAAGAAAGCUGGGGUGCUGUGAAGAGAAUCCCUACCCCUCUGCCCCACAUGCAACUGAAACAUUCUAUAGUGGUUUGCCAUUAGGGUAUUCAUUCAGAUAAUGUUUUCCUACUAGGAAUUACAAACUUUAAACAUUUUUAAAACCUUAAAAAUAUUUAAAAACAUGUUAAAAGGGUGUGUUAGUCCCUACAUUUUUCUUUACUAAUCAUUUCAGUUUUUUUCCUUUGGAUUAAUUGGGCAAGGAAGAUACUUCAGUGUGGAAGAUUUAUUGCUCAGUUUGAGUGGAAUAAAGGUUUAUUAGUGGGAGGCAAAUAUAACAUUUAAAUAGAUGAAGUUUGAGUUGGAGAUAUGGUUUCUGAGGCAUUUUGACUUGUCUUUUUAAAUGCUUUAUUUUUUAAACACAAUUUAUUUGGAUAAAACCAUUGGGACCACCAGUAUUGCAGUAGGACCUGGGUAGGGACCGGAAGUGCUUGGCAGGGCAGCAGCAACCUUACUCCUUUUAUAUAGUGUGCACCUUUGUGCAGAUGCAUUUAAAUCUUACAGUGUGGUGAAGGGAUGAUUUUUAUAAUGCUGCAGUAGAAUUGGGUUACUUAGCUGUGUUCUUGUCUGAUAUAGAAAAUAAAUGUUUGCAUUAUUUCCACAUAGGGGAAAUAAGGGAAUACUUUUCUUUUUAUAUUUCUGUGUUUAGAGUGACCUUCCUGGUCAGAAAAUACCCAUCUCUUUGUGUGCUUUCUACUUGUUUUCACCUCUCCCCUGCCCCCCCAUACUCUUUUUGGGCUAAAGAUAGUCCUUUUUCACUGACUUCAUCACUACUGUAUCAUUCACAGCAUAAUUGUGCAAGUAUAUGUCAUGCUGGGUUUAAUAUGUAAUAUAGUGAUUAUGUAGGGUAAUACCCAUAACAGCUGUAGUUUCUUACUUGGCCAAGCGAUUUCAUAUUUAAAUUAUAGGUUUCCACUUUGGUGAAAUCUUACCAUGUCAAAAGAUGUUGGAAGGAGGGAUUCCCUUUGGUGUUCAGUCUUCUACUUGGGAAAUACUGUUGCAGUUGGAGUUUAUCUUACAUUAUUCAUCUUCGUAGUUUGGAGAGUAUGAGGUUUGCAUUCAUUGAAAUACAUAGAGGGGAACCAAACUUCUUGAUCCAACAUGAAUUAUAAAAUUGAUGAGAUCCAUGGUUCUUCAUUUCGGGGUUGAUGAGUCAUUGUGCUCCUGUUUAGCUCCUAAAUACUGCACCAUAUCCCCCACUUCUCCUUUUUCUCCCUCCCUCUCCUCCAAGGAUAAAGAAAUGAUAGAUUUUCUGUUGUACUUUUAACUCUUAACAUUAAUUAAGACUUAAGUCCAGCCACUGUACCAGGAAUUGCUAGGGUUCUACCUGUCUUUCAAUUUAAAGCGCUGGUGUUUAAAAACAGUUUCAAGGGUAGGGAUGAGACCCUCUGUACGUUGCUUAUUUUGAAGAAUCAGUGGUAGGAGCAGUGAAAAAAAUUCCAUGGAAUACAUUUUUGAAGUAGCACAUUUCUGAAGUCAUAAGUUGAUUCAGGUUCUAACCCUUUGCUGUACACAAGCAGAUAGAAAUGCAUCUGUUACGUGAGUGAGAAAAGGCUGUAUGCUAACUGAGCAUGCUUUUUAAACCCUUUAAAAAUACUCAGCAUACAAACUUGCAUUUGAGCUUGCCAGUGGUUUUUUUGUUGUUGUUAAUGUGUGUUCUCUCUCAGAUUUUCUAAUGUGUGUUGUGAAUAACUCAAGAAGACCAGUUCCUUUUGGGUUCCUUAUUUGAUUUACUUAAUUAUAUAUUAAGUACAUUCUAACAUUGCAAAUAUUACCAUAAGUGGGUAAAAGUAAAAUUGGUCUUCUGAAAA